GGACCAAGGAGUCUAGCAUGUGCGCGAGCCAUUGGGACUCGAUAAACCUAAAGACGUAAUGAAAGUAAAGGUCUGUUUGCACGGACCGAGGGAGGAUGGGCUGUACUGUGGUACGGCCUCGCACUCCCGGGGCGUCUCGCACUCAUUGCGAGGCGGGGCGCACCUAGAGCGUACACGCUGGGACCC
rnacentral:rRNA from 1 species